rnacentral:rRNA from 1 species
AGCGAACGCUGGCGGCAGGCCUAACACAUGCAAGUCGAACGAACCCCUCGGGGUUAGUGGCGGACGGGUGAGUAACACGUGGGAACGUGCCUUUAGGUUCGGAAUAACUCAGGGAAACUUGUGCUAAUACCGAAUGUGCCCUUCGGGGGAAAGAUUUAUCGCCUUUAGAGCGGCCCGCGUCUGAUUAGCUAGUUGGUGAGGUAAUGGCUCACCAAGGCUACGAUCAGUAGCUGGUCUGAGAGGAUGACCAGCCACAUUGGGACUGAGACACGGCCCAAACUCCUACGGGAGGCAGCAGUGGGGAAUCUUGUGCAAUGGGCGAAAGCCUGACGCAGCCAUGCCGCGUGGAUGAUGAAGGUCUUAGGGUUGUAAAGCUCUUUCGCCGACGAAGAUAAUGACGGUAGUCGGAGAAGAAGCCCCGGUUAACUUCGUGCCAGCAGCCGCCGUAAUAC